rnacentral:rRNA from 1 species
GACGAACGCUGGCGGCGUGCCUAAUACAUGCAAGUAGAACGCACAGUUUAUACCGUAGCUUGCUACACCAUAGACUGUGAGUUGCGAACGGGUGAGUAACGCGUAGGUAACCUGCCUGGUAGCGGGGGAUAACUAUUGGAAACGAUAGCUAAUACCGCAUAAUAUUGAUUAUUGCAUGAUAAUUAAUUGAAAGGUGCAAUUGCACCACUACCAGAUGGACCUGCGUUGUAUUAGCUAGUAGGUGAGGUAACGGCUCACCUAGGCGACGAUACAUAGCCGACCUGAGAGGGUGAUCGGCCACACUGGGACUGAGACACGGCCCAGACUCCUACGGGAGGCAGCAGUAGGGAAUCUUCGGCAAUGGACGAAAGUCUGACCGAGCAACGCCGCGUGAGUGAAGAAGGUUUUCGGAUCGUAAAGCUCUGUUGUAAGAGAAGAACGGGUGUGAGAGUGGAAAGUUCACACUGUGACGGUAUCUUACCAGAAAGGGACGGCGAACUACGU